UGAUGACAGUCUCCGGAAUCGCUGCACUGCUUUGAUGAAAGCCCAUUUGAACCCUUUUCCAUCUGAUGACUGAGCGUUUUCGC
rnacentral:snoRNA from 12 species